CCGCAAUGGGCGAAAGCCUGACGGAGCAACGCCGCGUGAGUGAUGAAGGUCUUCGGAUCGUAAAGCUCUGUUGUUAGGGAAGAACAAAUGUGUAAGUAACUGUGCACAUCUUGACGGUACCUAACCAGAAAGCCACGGCUAACUACGUGCCAGCAGCCGCGGUAAUACGUAGGUGGCAAGCGUUAUCCGGAAUUAUUGGGCGUAAAGCGCGCGUAGGCGGUUUUUUAAG
rnacentral:rRNA from 1 species